rnacentral:lncRNA from 1 species
UGCGGUAUGCAUAUGCUAUGGUUGCCAAUGAGACACAUAUCCAUCAAAGACAGAAUAACAAAGAUGUAAGCAAAUCUAGGUAAUUGUACAACAUUCAAUAAUGAACAAAGCCCAUACCGUAUAGGCAGCUAUAAAAGGCUCCAACAUUACAAAUGUAAAACAUAUCAAACUAAAAACUAUCAGCCUGAUUUAUGUACAAAACAGUAUUAAAACCAGAUAUAACAGACAGCAACAAACAGCACUUGCUGAAUUACAGGCUCUUGACUUGAACAAAUACAGAAUGUGGUUAGGCUAAGCAUGUGAAAAACGCACUCAAACCCUUCUCUAACCUGGGACAGCGGUGUUACAGACAUUCAUAAAACAAACUAUUAAAAUCAGUAUUAAAAAUUAAGAUCACAAAAAUACUGAACUAAGAGGAAAAUCAAUUCGGAAAGUCCAUAAUCACAUGGCAAAAUCAAAUAACACUACGCAUCAAAAACAAAUGGACAAGAACAAAUGGCUUUACUUUUCAGGUCUGAAAGAUUUACAAAAAUACAACCAACAAAAAUACAAAAGACAUAAAGUUUCAAAAAACUUGUUCCAGUUGUUGUCUCUUUGACACAUUCCCUAUUUCCAUUCUUAAUUUUACUAUUUAAGAAUUUUAAAUAGUGAUUUUUGCUUAGUUUGCGAUUACUUGAAAUUUGUGGAAAAAAAAGCUCUAGCGUGAAUUGUUUAGGAAGGUUACAUUAUUGAUCAUUUUGUUAUAACACAAAAUACUACAGUACAAAAUGUUCAUGUCUUGAAAUUGUGAAAAUAUCUGCAUUUAAUUUAUAUACUUUGAAUUAUCAAAACUGAAGAAAGGUGAAAUAAAAACUAAGUGAACUUAAAUAUAUAUACAAUUUGAUCUACUUUUACAUUUUUCAUAUUAUUGACUUUGUUUUGUAUAGUUAUUAAUAAAAUGGUAAUUAAAUUAUACAAAAAUAUUCUCAUAUUU